GGUGCAAAGUUCCACAUCCCAGCUAAUGUGCCCUACGUCAGGUACUUUGUGAGUUUUAUAAUCCAGUUCCAGUUCCACAAAGCCCUGUGUGAAGCCGCCGGUCAGCCAGCUCCGCUCCACAACUGUGACAUCUACCAGUCCAAAGAAGCAGGGAAACUCCUGGGUGAUGUGAUGAAGAUGGGCUUCAGUAAACCCU